CUUUGGUCGGGAGGGGAUGGAAACAGAAAUAGAGAAGUGGGGAGGAUUUCUGAGUCAGGCCGUGUGACUCCUCCUAGCGGGGAAUUGGAAGUGCUUUGUGGUUGUGAGCGUGUGUGUGAGGGUGAGGAUAGGAGCUAGGUAGUAGCGUCUCAAUGCCGAAACUCCUGGUAGGGGAAUAUAUAUCCCAGUUACACUGCUUUUUAUCUCCUAAGUAAAACCCAGAUAACGCCAAGGUGAGAGCCAUAGGACCAGAAGUGAGAGCAAGCCUCCAAGGGAAACUCUUCUACAAAUGUCCAGCAGCUCAUGUCCAUAUGUCUUUCUGGAACUCUUGCCAGACAUAGUCACAGGAUCAAAAUUAUUUCUUCAUGGUCAUUAUGCAGUGUCACAUCUCGCAGAGCCAAAGGAAUAAAUUCCAGACAUGCAGAACACGCGUCUCUCCAGCCUCUCUCAGCCAGGCUGUCAACUCUGCAGCACUGAUGCACAAAUCAAAAAGGGCAGGCAGAGGCUGAGGACUGCUUCUGUUGGUCUGUUCCUUAUCCUUCGCCUUCCUGAUGCAGGGGAGUGAAAGACCCUCAGCCACGCCCUGGCCCUCCACACUGAAUUCCUCACUAUGAUAUUCCCAGGGUAGGAAAAAAAUAUGGGCAUGGGAGGGAGCAAGAGAUGGAGGAGAGUUUGCCAGACAAAGAGAAGGAAAUUAUAUAUUCAAGAGCUAUUUAGUCAAGGACUGAACAUAAAAAAUUGACGAGUGUUUCCUGUCUCUUAACUGGUCAAAAAACACACUCCAAACCCAUCCUCCUGUCUCCUCAAUGUUUCUCUCUCUCUCUCUCUCUCUCUCUCUCUCUUCCUCCCUCUUGGUUUCUUCUCCACAGCUGAAUGCUUCCGAGUGUUUUUCCUCUUAGAAACAGUAUGAUUUCUGUCAAACCACAGUUUAAAUUUUUCAGAGAAGCUCUAGAGCUUUCAUUUCUGUAACCAAGAUCAACAAUCUGUCAUGUACAGUGGCAUUUCCAACUGACAGCUGGAAAUCUCCACCUGGAUGCCCUGCCAACACCUUGAAAUUAUCACGUCCAGAAACGCAGCAUCUUUCCUUUGGAAUGGAAUGUUCCUUUCCCAGACUUUUUUCCUGUUCCUUAUAAACCACUCUCGUUACUCCAGUUGCAGAUGUUGAAACUUUUACCUGAUUGUGGCCUCUUCUGUACUGUCGUGUGGGUUGGGUGAUCACCAGGUCUCUAGCACAGGUGACUAAGGGGAGAAGGUGAUGCCUCCAUUGAGACCUGAGUGGGUGUGCAGGGGAGAACAAGGGGGUGCUUUUGGACACCCUCAGGAUGGUCUGAGACGACAGUGAGAUGUCUUACUGGAUAUGUGCAGGGUUAGAAGAAAAUAUUAGAGCAAAAACCAGGAUUCCUAUACAGCAAAUAUAAGCCUGGAACUCAUCAGAGGACAAGCGGUGGUUAAAAUCAUGAGAGCAAUGGAGUUAUCAGGAGAGGGGAGAGGUACAAAAUACGAUUAGAAUUUUUUUAUUAGGUAUUUACUUACUUUGCCCUGAGAACAAAUAUGAGAUUUCUGGAUCAGAGGCAGAGCUACCAGAAUGACAUGGGUUCUCCAGGUUCCAUUUUCCAUUUCAGGGUGAUGUGGUGAAAGCCAGAUGUCACUCUGCCUGCACCAGGGGCUUUUGCAUGACAGAAAAGGAACUUCAAAAUCCGGGAUCUGGCAUCUGGCCACGAAAAUCUUCAUAUAUGUUUUCCUACAGACGUUUUAUAGUUUUCUGUUUUACAGGUUAAUGUAUAAUACAUGUUGAGUUAACUUUUGUGUACAGUAUGAGGUAUUGAUCAGAGUUCUUACAACUUAGCACAUACUCAAUUGUUCCAGCACCAUUUGAAGAAAAAGACUAUCCUGUUUCCAUUGAAUUGCCUGUGUACCAUAGUAAAAACAAAAAUAAAACAGUUGUUUGUGUAUGUGUGGAUCUAUUUA